rnacentral:rRNA from 1 species
GCAGUCGCCGCGGUAAUACGAAGGGUGCAAGCGUUACUCGGAAUUACUGGGCGUAAAGCGUGCGUAGGUGGUGGUUUAAGUCCGUUGUGAAAGCCCUGGGCUCAACCUGGGAAUUGCAGUGGAUACUGGGUCACUAGAGUGUGGUAGAGGAUAGUGGAAUUUCCGGUGUAGCAGUGAAAUGCGUAGAGAUCGGAAGGAACAUCUGUGGCGAAGGCGACUAUCUGGGCCAACACUGACACUGAGGCACGAAAGCGUGGGGAGCAAACAGGAUUAGAUACCCCCGUAGUCCCUGUCUCUUAUAC